rnacentral:rRNA from 1 species
GUGGGGAAUCUUAGACAAUGGGGGCAACCCUGAUCUAGCCAUGCCGCGUGAGUGAUGAAGGCCUUAGGGUCGUAAAGCUCUUUCGCUGGGGAAGAUAAUGGCGGUACCCAGUAAAGAAACCCCGGCUAACUCCGUGCCAGCAGCCGCGGUAAUACGGAGGGGGUUAGCGUUGUUCGGAAUUACUGGGCGUAAAGCGCGCGUAGGCGGAUUGGAAAGUUGGGGGUGAAAUCCCGGGGCUCAACCCUGGAAUGGCCUUCAAAACUCCCAGUCUUGAGGUCGAGAGAGGUGAGUGGAAUGCCGAGUGUAGAGGUGAAAUUCGUAGAUAUUCGGAGGAACACCAGUGGCGAAGGCGGCUCACUGGCUCGAUACUGACGCUGAGGUGCGAAAGCGUGGGGAGCAAACAGGAUUAGAAACCCCGGUAGUCC